GAGAUCUGUCUUUAGUAUGUGCCGCAAUUCGCCUUGUGUUAGAGGGAGGCCAGAUGUGACAUUGUUAACAUGCGCUCGUCCAGCUGCCUUCUCUGCUGCAACAUUCCCAGGGAUAUUGCAGUGGCCAGGUAUUCAUUGGAAUAUUAUUGUGUGAUUCUCUUCACUUGCUUUUGUGAGUUCCUUUAGUAUCUUUUUAACUAAU
rnacentral:lncRNA from 1 species